AACACAAAGUUUUCUAAACCUUUUGGAUUUUUAAUUCCCGGCUCACACUCCAUUUACUCAAAGUAAAUGGAUCUUCCCCGCAACCUUUUGAAAAUUUUCUACACUCCAUUUUCUACAACCUUUUAUUUUAUAGUUAUACGCAAGAUAUACUUGGGGGGAUAUGAUGAAAUGGUUAAACAUCUUUGUAUGAGUAUGGCUGCAUCAUUUAUUCAGAUGAGCUUCGUAUUGUUGCUCCUCACUCUUGUGCUUGGGGCAGCCUAUUUACCACACUUCACUGCUCUUCACUCUCAAUCAUCAGCUUCCCCUGUCGACUAUGCUAACUACCAUGCACGCCGCUUAUGCAACCAUCAUGAAUACGGAUUUGCUCGUGUGUUAAUUUCACUGUCAGUCGCUUUUCAAGUUCUUUUAUGUGGAAAGAUUUUGAGAAUAAGAAUGAGGCUUUUGGAUUUUAUGCUUCGUGAUUAUAUGCAUUAGUGAAUAAAGACUUAGUGUAAUUUGAUGAAUUUAUUAAUUAUUGGUUUUGGAUAAUUAUGGAGCUGCGUCUCCAAUUUAUGACUUUUGAUAAUUGGGUUAGACCGCUGCUUUGACAUAUAUAUUAUUUGAGGAUUUGAUUUAAGUAAUGGUAUUAUUUAUGUCGUGAAAUUAGUUUUUAAUAUUCCGAAAAUUCGGGAUGUUACAACACGACACAGAAUGCCUCCUGUGAGUUGCUGCAAGUGCAGCAUUAUACCACGGACCCCUCACAAUAGAAUCUUUAAUAGCAUAUAUCACUGUUUCGUCCGUGCUGGCUUUCUCAAGGGCCUCAGUCCUCACUACAAGAAUGUCAACAAUAGGAUAAAAGGUCAGGCAAUAAUACACAAUUUUUUUUAAUAUAAAGAUACACGGUGUUUUUAACAUUCGCUAUCCACUAACAUUUCUAUCACUCUGUAUAUAUGAGAUCGCAUUGUGCAACAUCUCCGUAUGUGUAUGGCUGCAUCAUUUAUUCAGACGAGCUUCGUAUUGCUGCUCCUCACUCUUCUGCUUGGCGCAGCCUAUUUACCACAACUCACUGCUCUUCACUCUGAAUCAUCAGCUUCAGCUAUCUAUGAUGAUGACUACCACGGAUACAGCCACCAUCAAGCUCGCAGGAGUGAACCACGCCCUGCCCACGGUGCAAGCAUUAAUGAUUGAAGAGAUCUCACAUCAGCAUGCAUGAAUCCCAGUGCUUGCAUAAUAAUUAUGUAUGUGAUGCAGAUAUCAUAUGUGAUAUGUACAGGGAACCUUCUAUCUGUUCUAUUUCUUAUGCAGAUGUACAACUGAUUAACUCAAUGCGGCAUAUUUUGGACAAUAAUCUUGGGUAACCCAAUGUUAAAGAUGAUCACAAAUAACGUUAUUCCAUGGGUAACUUCAUAUUAUCAGCUAUCACUGCGAGUCUGCAAUUUUUUUUCCAAACAUCCUUGUAGAAUAUUAUACUAAGCGAGUGUAUUCAACUCUGAUUUUAAUUAUUUAAUAUAGUUUAUGAAUUUU